ACAACAAACACAUGCAUUUUGUUGUUGCUUGAGGUCCAUAAAGUGUCAAACAAGAAAUGUCAAAUUUGCCGAGUUUGACAAUUGAAGAAAAAAGCAAAAUGGCCGGCAAGUCAAGAAACGUCAAAUUUGCUGAGUUUGACAAUUGAAGUAACAAGCAAAAUGAUCGGCAGAAUCAGAAACUUACGAGCGUUGUGGAGCAGGAACAACAAAUGUGCCCACCAACAUCUUUUGACCGGUGCAUCUGCGGAUCUUACUUCAUCCAUUGCUUUUGCCAACUGCUGUAUGUGGAAAAAUCGAAAAGGAUCACACCUGUACUUGUACCUGCACCACGGACGACGCCAACCACCUUCAAUUUCAUCAACUCAGUCUGGUUCAGCUUCGUCCAAUUUUUUUUAUCGUUUGCUCCAGUUCCUCUUCACACAAUUUAGUGUAACGUUUCUGCCCGCCGCCAGCACCAGUAGCAGUACCAGCACCAACAAUCAAAGAAAAUAUGUAAACAUUUUGUUUGCCGGUUGGAAUAAUUUAAGGCACAUUUAUUUGACCAGUAAAGAGUUUACAUCAGAUGAUUUAACUGAUAUAGGUGAAAUUGGUCGGGGUGGUUUUGGCACUGUGAACAAGAUGAUAUUCAAAGUAGGCAAGGCAAUGGCAGUGAAACGCAUACGCUCCACAUUCGAUGAAAAGGAACUGAAGCAAUUACUUAUGGAUUUGGAAGUGGUGAUGAAUUUAAACGCCUGACCCUAUAUAGUGCAAUUCUGUGGAGCGCUAUUCAUAGAAGGCGACUGCUGGAUUUGAUAAAAUUAAUGGAUACCUCGAUGGACAAAUUUUGUAAAUACAUUUACGAGUGUAAACAGCAGCGCAUACCCGAGUGGAUACUUGCAAAAAUUACGGAGGCGGAGUCAAUUGCGGAGACUAAAGAUGCAGGAUGUCGGCCGUACAUGAUGCCGGAACGCAUAGAUCCAGAGCGCGCUAAGGCUUAUGAUGUGUGGAGUGAUGUGUAGUCGCUGGGCAUAUCGUUGAUGGAAGUUGCUACCGGAGUGUUUCCAUAUCCUAUAUGGGAUUCGGAGUUCGAGCAGUUGUAGUAUUGAAUUUGCAGUUGGUAAUUUUAAGGU